rnacentral:rRNA from 1 species
UACGGAGGGGGCUAGUGUUGUUCGGAAUUACUGGGCGUAAAGGGCGCGCAGGCGGCUUGGCAAGUCGAGUGUGAAAUCCCUUGGCUUAACUAAGGAAUGGCGCUCGAAACUACCUCGCUAGAGGACGGGAGAGGGAAGUGGAACUCUCGGUGUAGGGGUGAAAUCUGUAGAUAUCGAGAGGAACACCGGUGGCGAAGGCGGCUUCCUGGCCCGUAUC